GCCAGAAUGGUGUAGUGGUUUGAGUGGUGGACUAUGACUCUGGAGACCAUGGUUCUAAUCUGGUUUGGGCA